AGAAAUGGAUCUUCUCCCCAGAGACAAGCGCAUACCGACACAGACACACACAUACACACAUACACACACACACACACAAAUGUACACACAAUUCCAGGUUGCUCACGGACCCCCUCUAGGAGAUGCUACUGUCACUCAUUCAUAUUUCCAGUUCUACUCCUCUUCCGGGCACACUGGAGAAUUACACUUCCUUGCUGACUGGAGAUAAGUCACAGCUUUGGCCAAUGAAGUGUGAGUGGAAGUUUUCAGAACCUUUAAGAGCCUGUACGCAAUUUGCCACGCUUUCUCUUUUUGCUUUGUCACCAAAACUGCUGUGUUCCAGAUAGUGACUACUCUGUCUGCGUGGGUCCUGGAGAGAGGAGGAUGCAGAGUACAGCACUUAGCCACCCUGCAAUGGACACAUAGAGUGAGUGAGAAAUGAACCUAGUGGUUUAGAGCAUCUGGGAUUGGGGGAUGGUCGAUUACUGUUGCUGGACCUAGGCUGUCCUGCUGCAUAGCAGAGCACUCUCCACCUGACAGAAAAUAAUCUAUGUCGGAAAGAUCCUAUUCAGGGGAGUUUAAGCUUUCCCCCGACUUUUCUUAAUGAAGUUCCUUUCACCUCAUAUUGCUAUAUUUCGUUCUCUUUACCUAGAAGAAUCUUUCCCUGGUUCUUCCCAGGACUCAUCCUUCAAAUCUCAGCUCAUGUGUUACCUUCUCACACUGGUCCUUCUUGGCCUCUUUCCUACCCUUAUCCCAGCCCCAGUCACUAUGAUUCACUCCAACCAUUUUGUUUUUUCACAAACUGCAUCACAGUCUGUAACAACUUAUUUAUUUUCUCUUACUCUUCAGUUCUGAAUUCACAAUACGGAAUUUUUGCUAUCAAAAAUGACUCAUAAAUAAUGUCAUGCUACUUUCAUUUAUGAACUUAAGAAAAUGAAAUGCAUUCAAAACAUGGAACCUUUUCAUUUAAUAUGAUAAAAAUAGACCAUGAAUGUUCUAUAGCAAGUCACAUAUUUUACAUUUUUAAAAACUACGUUAGUAAAAAUCUCUAGCUAAAAAUAUUGGACAGAUGUCCAAAUGUUUGGAUGUGCAUCAAGAGCAAACCACUGAACCUUGGUAUUUACCCAGUUACCAUUAAGAGGUCAACUUGACAUUUUGGUUUCUUUUCAGAUAGUUGUGGCCAACAGCUCUUACAACCUUUGAUCCCAACCCAGUUAAAUUGUAGUUUUUGUUACUCAUUGAUAUACAGUUUUUGUUUUCUGUGUUUUUUAAAAUUUUACUCAGUAUAUGCACCAAAUGGUUUUCCUUUACCAUGACAGCCAGGAUUAAUCGUGAUGUUUCAGAAACUAUUAAGAGGCUAACCCUUUGUUCUGCAUCCAGGGAUAUAGAAAAUGUCUAAAAUCAUCAUGGGAUAUCACUGAAAAGGUUUCAAAACAAAGCCAUGAUCUCUAGAAAUGUGUCCUUGAUGGGUGGGUCUUCAUUUGAUGCGUGGUGAGUAACUGGUGUUUUUAUCAUGCCAAAAAUUCAGGAUCCAUGGGUACCUUUUUCUACUUUUCAUCAGGAGGCAAAAUUCAUACUGCAUUUUACAUGUAGAAAGGAGUUUGGCCAGAUGAAUAGAAUGGAAGUUUUUCUAAGCAGGACCAAGUUUUCAUGAUCUCAGACAGCAUCUCAAAUGGUUUGAAUGACUAGGCAGACCAGCCUGUGAAAUCGUGAGGGAACAGCGUUGCUUAACCAACAAUCCAAGUAGACAGACAGGCCAAAAGUAAAGUGUGGUAAGAAAAAGGGGGAGAGCAAUUUCAGGUGAGAAAAAUAAUAGCUGCAAAAUGAUAAAGUUACAGAGUGAAGAGAUUUAGGAAGAGAUGGUAGUAGAAAGAAUAGAUGAUGAUUUACAAAAGGGGUGGGGUAAAUCAUAGAAAAUUGCUAGAGAAGAAUAGAAUAAUAAAGGUUAUAGUACCUAAGAAUGUCUGUUUCCUAGGUGAAGAGUAUGUACUAUUGACUUAAUAUGAAAUUAAGAAAUAUUUUACUUUCAGAAAUUGAGGCUAAGUGAGCCAAGGAAAAGGUCAUCCAUCAAGAACAAAGCAGGAUUUCUCAACCGUGGCAGGACAUUAGGAUCAUCUGUAGAACUUUAAAAGAUUGUUUAAUUUUUUUCAUUUGGUUUCCUUUAUAGUUGAUUUUGUUUAACUUUGCCAGUGAAAUUUUUUUAAAAAAUGCUUUUUUUUUUUUAGUUAAAAGCUUAACUCAGAGUCAUUACUAGACCUGUGGAAAAUCACUGCUAGUUUUAGCAAAUUUUUCUGGAGGGUUUGAACUUCAAGACGUCUUUUUUUUUGGCACCCUUCUUAUAAUUUUCAUUUUGAAAUUUUUAUGUCAUUGCACAGCAAAAUGUUGCUUCAGUAUUUCUAUCCUGAAUCAACACUAAUUACCAAUUCAAAUGCUCUCCCUCAUUGAGAAAGACAUACUAAUUUCAAGAUCUACAUGGCUAAACAGUGUUUCAAGUUCAAGUUUCCCACCACUAUCAACAGACUGUAGAAAAUAGAAAAAUACUGAAAGAAAAUUAAUGGUUUCCAGGAAAAGCAUGACAUUCAGAAAAAAAUAAGAUGCUUUGCAUGCAAAUAUUCUUGCUAAAAAAUAUAAUUUUUCAGAAAAAUUAUACCUUUGCCACCACAUAUCUGAUGAUGUAGAAUUCAUAGUAAGCAUUAAAAAGACACUAAAAUGUAAAUAUCAAGGAUUUCCAUUUGCAAUCCUAAGGUACAGGUAAAAUUGUUUCUAGAAUACUCCCAUUCUCAAAAGAAAGGACCCAAACAGCCAGAUAUUUUCUUAUAUCAAACAUUUUUAAAUUUUUUCUUUUUAUACUUGUGAAACAUACCCUUCAUGCAUAAACUGAAGAAAUUCCUGAUUAGUUGAUUCUGAAUGUUAACCUAUAGAUUAAAAUAAAUACAUUUCAGCAUUGUAGUACAGUGAGAAGGGGAACAGGUAUAGAGUUUGAAUAUAAAAAUAGAACACAAAAUUCAGCCUAAUGAAUAAAUGUGAAACAGGUCAUUGUUUUCUGAAUCACUAAAUUUUGUCAUCAUUUACAAGCUAAACAGGCCAUCCUUUACUUGAUACUAUGUAGAUUGUGUAUCCCCAGUGACUUUUAAAUAAAGAGCAAGUUAGAUUCAUUUGGUUGAGCAUCUUCUUGUCCUCACUGAGCAUGAACUCCCUCUGCUCAUGGGCACCUCAUUAUCAUACAGCUCAACUUUUGUUCCUGUUUCUCUUUUUGCCCUGAUUAUUUUCCUACUUCACUAAACCUAACUAUCUUUCUUUCAAGUAUCACGUCUUUCAUGCAGCUCUUCCAAACCGCCAAACUCUCUUUUCCUCUCUCUUGAUCUUAGUAGAAUCACAAAGCCACACCCAAUGGGAAAGGAAAGUGGAAAAGCAGCUCUACUGGUGGGUUAGAUAUGUUUGUUGUUUUAUGUUCAUCCUGGCAAUCACACCUGAUGACAACACGAACAUUGUCUGGUGCCUGAUAGCUAGUCUCUUGCAGAGAAAAUAAAGAGAACUAUUGCCUAUGUGCUGACUAUCUACAGAUACUUCCCACAUGUCAUAAGUAAUGCACACAAGACCUGUUGGCUAGGGGCCAUCCCUUAGAGGAUGUCUUUAUGUUGUAUCUUACUAAGUCCCCCAUUACAAAUCAGAAGGAGCAUCAAGAUGUCUCAAUCUCCUGCAGAAAAGAAAGGGUCAACAUACCCUAAAAUCAUUGUCAUUGGCAAACUUUCUCAAAAUUCAAUUAGUCACCAUAAGAUCAUACCACAUCACAAACCGGUUAUGUGAGAAUGCAUAUUAUGGCAUAGGCAUGUCCAGACAGCAUGAUACUUAGAAUCAGACUUUCCCAGGCACCCUACAGAGAUUUGUUUUUCUAUGACAAAAAUGAAUAAAACACAUCUGCUUUAAAAUUCUUCCAGACUAAAAUACUAUUAGUGUAGCAUCUAUCAAAUCUGAGAAAAAUAACAGAUACCAGAUAGUUGAUAGACAUAUUAACCAUUUAUGCUCUAGGAAUCUAUUUAUUCAUGUUCCUGACUCUUACAUUCUAGAAAGCAGUAUACUCAGUCCUUAUAGUCUCUAACAUUAAAUUUACAUUUUAUUGUUUGGUCCUCAACUUCUCAAAACACACUCCCAAGAAAUCACUUUUGAAGUCGACUACCACAAUUGCUGUAAAUUAGUAAGCUGGUUUACUCACUGCUCCAACAACAACUGUGAGGUAAGUUUGGAGCUGAAUAAAAGAAACUAUCACAACACUCAUUUUUGCAGACCUUUUUUCUUCGAUCCUGAUUAUCUGUUUACAUUUAGCUCAGUUGUUUAAAGUUACUUGUAAUUAUAAGUUUCCUUAUUGCCUAUGAUAGUCAUUAUAUAUGUAAAUUUAAUAAAUGCUCAGCACUACUAUGUUUAUGUAACUGAAGUAAUUAUUUGUUUAUUCUCUGCAACUCCAUAAAAGGAAACAUUCUAACAUGCAAAUCUUACUAUAUCACUCCCUGGCUAAAAAUCGUCCCAUGACUGCAACUAGAUCCAGAAUUAAGUACAAGUUUCUAAGUGUACUUGGCCACUGCAUUUAUAAAAGUACGCAGAGCUCCUGUCUUUCUUUCCUGCUCUCUCAAGAAAGUUCUACCUCUAGACCUAUUCUGGAUCUUUUAGGAUGUAGUUAUUAGAAGGUUAGACAAAUAAAUGACCAGAGAAUGAGAAAGACUUGGAGACAUUAAGUAAACUUAAUAAAGAGAUAGAUAAGUGAAAAGGAAAGAGAGGGAGAAGGGAAAAGAUGAGAGCUGGAUGUCAAGAAAAUACUGAAGGAUUAAGAGUUUACAGAGGUAGUUUUUGGGUGUUAGAAAAUAGGAGGAAUAGAAAAUAGAAAUUGGAUAGAGGAAAGUGAUGAUUUUUAUAUUUUUUGAAAAGUACAGUUAAGAUUAGAGUUGCUUGAUGAUUUUUUGAUUACUCAGACUCGGCUUUUUUAGAGGCCCCCCUCCAUAAAGAAACUGGGCUACACGGGACUGUGGGAUCUAUUAGGAUUAGAGAAGUAAAAUGCCCUGAUCUUUUUCUCAUUUGGCCACCAGGAAUGCACUAAUCUUUUUUUCAGUGUUAGCCCACCACACUCACUCUGGCUCCAAUACUUGCCGACAGUUUGCAGAGGCCACCAUGUUUAUUCUCAUAUCCAGGUCACUGCAUUUGUCAAAUAUUGCUCUGUCUACCUAGAGCACUCACAGUCACUUCCUCUUUUAACACUAAAGUCUACAGUUUCUUCCACAAUCAGCUUAGUUAUUCUACAGGAAGAUUUACUCCUACCUCUCUUACAUUCUCAGUUAAGAUCUAAUAGAUACAAAUACAGGGAACAGAGAAAGUACAUGUCAGCUUUAUCAGUCUGCUUACUUCAGACCCUUUCAUUACCCUGAGCUUCAUGAAAGCAAGAUGGUAAAGAGCAAUAAAACAAACAAACAACAAACCAACCAACAGAAAAUGAUUCAUAAAGAAGCUAGUUUCUGGUUUAUAGUAAAAUCACUGGGAUUUGUAUUACCAACAAGUCUUUGAAAAUGGUAGGGUGUCUAUAAAAUCGUCAAGAAACCAAUCUUCUUAAAAGUAAACUCCCAAAACAAAAAUGCAAGGAAAACAAAGCUUUGAUUACACAAAUAUCUGAAAUUUCGUUACCUGAAAUUGAUUAUAAACAGACCUCCAGAAAUGAUGGUGGUAUGGUAGCAGAUAUCCAAAAUCCUUGCUAGAAACUUCCUAAGAUUUCCUAAGCCAAAUCCCAGAGGAAAAAUAAGGAUAGAGAAAAUUAUGCAAAGUUCACAUUGGUUGAAGUCCAGUGGUAAAUAAUGUAUCUAUUCUAGUUAAGCAGAAACUUAUUUUACAGUCAUUAGGAAGCUGAAUAAACAAAUGCCAAACUGAGUUUUCAGAUAUAACUGAAAAUCACACUAAGCUAUGAAUAAAAUCGCUGCUCUAUAAUCAAAAAACCUACCUGCAAAACUUGACAGCCACCACCCCAUGAUCAGGACACAACCACCAAAUUGGGUAUGCAGGAUAGCAUUUGCCAGCAGAACCAGAAGAAUGGCCUGAACCUCACUUCUUUCUUCCAAACCUUAUGUAAGUGCAUUUGUAUAGUGAACGUGAAUCACAUUUAGUCCCCUAUCUUAGAGAUUCAAGGAAUUAAUGUUCUGUUUUCCAGCUCUUCUACACAGAAAGACACACAAGAAAGACACACAAGAAAGACAGAAAGAAAGACAAAAAGACAGAAAGAAAGAAA